rnacentral:pre_miRNA from 2 species
AUGUAGGGCAAUCUGUCUUUAAGUAGGGAUAAAUUUCUCUAAAAAUAUGAAUCUUAGAUAGUUUCCCCUUCAAGUCAAGUGUCUUGU